CUACGGGUGGCAGCAGUGGGGAAUAUUGGACAAUGGGGGCAACCCUGAUCCAGCCAUGCCGCGUGUGUGAAGAAGGCCCUCGGGUUGUAAAGCACUUUCAGUGAGGAAGAACGCCUGGUGGUUAAUACCCAUCAGGAAAGACAUCACUCACAGAAGAAGCACCGGCUAACUCCGUGCCAGCAGCCGCGGUAAUACGGAGGGUGCGAGCGUUAAUCGGAAUUACUGGGCGUAAAGCGCGCGUAGGUGGCUUGAUAAGCCGGUUGUGAAAGCCCCGGGCUCAACCUGGGAACGGCAUCCGGAACUGUCAAGCUAGAGUGCAGGAGAGGAAGGUAGAAUUCCCGGUGUAGCGGUGAAAUGCGUAGAGAUCGGGAGGAAUACCAGUGGCGAAGGCGGCCUUCUGGACUGACACUGACACUGAGGUGCGAAAGCGUGGGUAGCAAACAGGAUUAGAUACCCUAGUAGUC
rnacentral:rRNA from 1 species